rnacentral:rRNA from 1 species
GACGAACGCUGGCGGCGUGCUUAACACAUGCAAGUGGAGCGACGAACCGGGCUUCGGCCCGGGGCAAAGCCGCGAACGGGUGAGUAACACGUGGAUAACCUGCCCUCGGCACCGGGAUAGCCCGGGGAAACUCGGAUUAAUACCGGAGGGCCAUUCCGGCUCUCGAGCCGGGCGGAAAAGGUAGCUUCGGCCGCCGGCCGAGGAUGGGGUCGCGGCGGAUUAGCUUGUUGGUGGGGUAACGGACCACCAAGGCCACGAGCCGUAGCUGGUCUGAGAGGACGAUCAGCCACACUGGGACUGAGACACGGCCCAGACUCCUACGGGAGGCAGCAGUGGGGAAUCUUGCGCAAUGGGCGAAAGCCUGACGCAGCGACGCCGCGUGAGGGAAGAAGGCCUUCGGGUUGUAAACCUCUUUCAGCAGGGACGAAGCUACUCGGGUGAACAGCCCAGAGGGUGACGGUACCUGUAGAAGAAGCCCCGGCUAACUACGUGCCAGCAGCCGCCGUAA